CUAUGAUUGACUCAUUCACCAACGAACCAAUGUGUACUCUGCUGGCCAAGCAACAAGACUACGUUUGGGCGGAAUACCGUAUACCGGGGUAUUUUGAAAUACCAACAUAAUGAUUUUUAAUAUCUAGGAUGUGCCAAGAAAAUGCUCUGCAUUUGGUUUACUAACUUGCUAGCUUGCAAGAUAAAGCUUCUUGGUUACAGCAGAGACAGAUCAAUCCUCUCCUGUAUCAAGAUUCCUACUGUCUAAUAUUUGUUUUGUGCGUGCAGCAAACUGAGUAACCUUUUGAGAAAGUUGUCAAACUUUAUGAGCUGGGUUGUCUGGCCUUGCAAUUUGUUUGUUCGCUUGUGCUUGUUAGCAUUUAGCUAGCAUCUGCUAUGAGAAUUCCUUAGUACUUUCUUAGCAUAAUUGUUCGUUUUUAGAUUGGAACAAAAUGGCACCCCUUGUGUUAUACCAUAUAAAACAUUUGCAUAGCACCCAACCCUUACUAAGACUCAUUGUAAAAUGUGUGGUCCUAUUCGCUUAAUUCACACACCACAACACGUCACUUCCGGCUGCACUAAAAUGAGGCUAGAGUGGGAAACCGAGACCAGAAACCUAGGCAACGCAGUCAAACAUGUCAUACUGCUGCGUCCCUGGAUGUAACUCCUACAAAGGAGGGAGUCAAGUUGAAUGAACUUUUCACUGUUUCCCCAAAGACCCUGCACUACGACGCCAAUGGGUGGUCAAAAAUAAAAUUGAUGUCGGGACACAUUUUGAAGGUAAGAUUGUUCACGUUAACGUUGCUGCUUAGCUAGCUAGCCAGCUAGGCUAACACUGCCACCAGUUAGCUGAGAAUGGCUAACGAUGGCCAACUUAGUAGCUAGCUUUGUAUCUUACCAACAUAGCUAGUUCUGAAGCUUGACAACUACAGUGGAUGAAUAUUUCCCUACACAGAUAACUGAUAACACUAAAGUGUGUUCAAAACACUUUGUGGACUAAUUUUAAAAUACAAUAAUGUGGGAAACUGAUUCCAAGCGAGCAGGUUGUGCAGACUGUGUUAACCUGGACGUCCACUCCAAAGCCUGGUAGGAGGACCAUCAUCAGAACAGCUGCAGGUUCUGGCGAUGAGGUGGAGACAAGCGUACCCUGACCAUCCGUUACGAUCAGAAUCCUCUGCCUGAGGCGGAGCCGCUUGAAGAGGCGCGCAAACGAGGCAAACCAGUUCCUCCUGCAACUCGUCUUGUGUGACAACAACAAAGUAAUGUGUUACACUGGAUUUAGGGUCUACCGUACUCUAAAAGCAGAAACAGAUUAACACACACUUAAACUCGACUUUAGCGCUUAACCUUAAUGGAUCAGUGCUUCCUCUUUCUGUGCUGUGUUAAACUGGGCUUCCUUAAACUGGAGUUAGCUGUUUCAAUGCAUCACAGUCCACGGUCAGCAGGAUAUGUACUGAAAUGCAUGUGCAAAGGCCUAGCUCAGAAACACUAACUAUACUGAACAAAAAUAUAAUCGCAACAUGCAACAAUUUCAUUGAUUUUUACUGAGUUACAGUUCAUAUAAGGAAAUCAGUCAAUUAAGAUAAAAUCAUUAGGCCCGAAUCUAUGAAUUUCCAAUGACAUCUAUGCAGCUGUUGGUCACAUACCAAAAAAAAUGGGCCUCAGGAUCUCGUCACGGUAUUUUUGUGCAUUCAAAUUGCCAUCGAUAAAAUGCAUUUGUGUUCGUUGUCUGUAGUUUAUGCCUUCCCAUGCCAUAACCCUCGCCCACACAACGCCAUACACGUGGUCUGCGGUUGUGAAGCCGGUUGGACAUGCUGGCAAAUUCUCUAAAACGCUUAUGGUAGAGAAAUUUCACAUUCAAUUCUCUGGCAACAGCUCUGGUGGACAUUCCUGCAGUCAGCAUGCCAAUUGCACGCUCCCUCAACUUGACAUCUGUGGCAUUGUGUUGUGACAAAAAUGCACAUUUUAGAGUGGCCUUUUUAUUCUCUACAGCACAAUAUGCACCUGUGUAAAGAUCAUGCUGUUUAGCUUGUUAGCAACCUGUAAACAGGUUCAAAAUCAGACAAGGACAUCACUAGACAGUCAGGGAUUCUUCCUCUUCUGGAGGAGGGAGAUGAUGGCCAAUAAACACUUCCUUAUUAAGGACCUUCUGUCGUAUUAAGGCAUCUUUGUUAAUUUCACCAUUUUAGCCAAGGUGAUAAUCUAGCCCUGGAUCAUGACUCCCGAUCCAUUACAUUACACAUACAUCAUUGGAUGACGGCGUCUUCUGUACAGGGGUGUUUUGUAUAUAUUGUAAUGGUAGGCUCCUUGAGAGUACGUCUUGGGCUAGGGAUAAUCUAGAAAAUGUACAUUUUAUAAAAUGUUUACAUAAAAUAAUGUACUUUGUUUAGUUGUAUAACCUAUUCAUUAACCCAUACAAAAAAAUCAUACAUGUUUGUACUCUAACAAUAAACUAUGAUAAAUUCA